GAGGCCGAAAGGCGUAGUCGAUGGGAAACGGGUUAAUAUUCCCGUACUUGGUGUUACUGCGAAGGGGGGACGGAGAAGGCUAUGUUGGCCGGGCGACGGUUGUCCCGGUUUAAGCGUGUAGGCUGGUUUUCCAGGCAAAUCCGGAAAAUCAAGGCUGAGGCGUGACGACGAGGCACUACGGUGCUGAAGCAACAAAUGCCCUGCUUCCAGGAAAAGCCUCUAAGCAUCAGGUAACACGAAAUCGUACCCCAAACCGACACAGGUGGUCAGGUAGAGAAUACCAAGGCGCUUGAGAGAACUCGGGUGAAGGAACUAGGCAAAAUGGUGCCGUAACUUCGGGAGAAGGCACGCUGACAUGUAGGUGAAGUGAUUUACUCAUGGAGCUGAAGUCAGUCGAAGAUACCAGCUGGCUGCAACUGUUUAUUAAAAACACAGCACUGUGCAAACACGAAAGUGGACGUAUACGGUGUGACGCCUGCCCGGUGCCGGAAGGUUAAUUGAUGGGGUCAGCGCAAGCGAAGCUCCUGAUCGAAGCCCCGGUAAACGGCGGCCGUAACUAUAACGGUCCUAAGGUAGCGAAAUUCCUUGUCGGGUAAGUUCCGACCUGCACGAAUGGCGUAAUGAUGGCCAGGCUGUCUCCACCCGAGACUCAGUGAAAUUGAACUCGCUGUGAAGAUGCAGUGUACCCGCGGCAAGACGGAAAGACCCCGUGAACCUUUACUAUAGCUUGACACUGAACAUUGAGCCUUGAUGUGUAGGAUAGGUGGGAGGCUUUGAAGUGUGGACGCCAGUCUGCAUGGAGCCGACCUUGAAAUACCACCCUUUAAUGUUUGAUGUUCUAACGUGGACCCGUGAUCCGGGUUGCGGACAGUGUCUGGUGGGUAGUUUGACUGGGGCGGUCUCCUCCUAAAGAGUAACGGAGGAGCACGAAGGUUGGCUAAUCCUGGUCGGACAUCAGGAGGUUAGUGCAAUGGCAUAAGCCAGCUUGACUGCGAGCGUGACGGCGCGAGCAGGUGCGAAAGCAGGUCAUAGUGAUCCGGUGGUUCUGAAUGGAAGGGCCAUCGCUCAACGGAUAAAAGGUACUCCGGGGAUAACAGGCUGAUACCGCCCAAGAGUUCAUAUCGACGGCGGUGUUUGGCACCUCGAUGUCGGCUCAUCACAUCCUGGGGCUGAAGUAGGUCCCAAGGGUAUGGCUGUUCGCCAUUUAAAGUGGUACGCGAGCUGGGUUUAGAACGUCGUGAGACAGUUCGGUCCCUAUCUGCCGUGGGCGCUGGAGAACUGAGGGGGGCUGCUCCUAGUACGAGAGGACCGGAGUGGACGCAUCACUGGUGUUCGGGUUGUCAUGCCAAUGGCACUGCCCGGUAGCUAAAUGCGGAAGAGAUAAGUGCUGAAAGCAUCUAAGCACGAAACUUGCCCCGA
rnacentral:rRNA from 1 species